AACGAACGCUGGCGGCAGGCUUAACACAUGCAAGUCGAACGGGCGUAGCAAUACGUCAGUGGCGGACGGGUGAGUAACACGUGGGAAUAUGCCUUUCGGUUCGGAACAACUCGGGGAAACUCGUGCUAAUUCCGGAUACGCCCUUACGGGGAAGGAUUUAUCGCCGAAGGAUUAGCCCGCGUUGGAUUAGCUAGUUGGUGAGGUAAUGGCCCACCAAGGCGACGAUCCAUAGCUGGUUUGAGAGAACGACCAGCCACACUGGGACUGAGACACGGCCCAGACUCCUACGGGAGGCAGCAGUGGGGAAUCUUGGACAAUGGAGGAAACUCUGAUCCAGCCAUGCCGCGUGAGUGAUGAAGGCCUUCGGUUGUAAACUACUUU
rnacentral:rRNA from 1 species